CUGUUGUCAUUACCUUUCAGUGAGAGGUCCUCUCUCUGUUUUUUCAACUUGCCAAAGUUUUCCUCCUUCUCCUCUGCAGCAUCUGAAAGGAGCUGGCCAAGAACUGGUUUAAGUACCCUUAGCUGACCACCCACCUCCAGCCUAAAAAGAUGGUUGAGAAGACUGACAGGAUUUUUUUUGAGAAGAUAGAGAAUUUCUUUAGAAAAUGUUAUUAUUGUGUUGGGAAUCUGACCAUCUUAAGCUUAGUGAGAGGGACUAUGAGGGACCCACCAGGUAAACCUUGACAUAAGUGACCUGGAGUUUGGGGGAUGCAAAGGACUGGUAUCUUACUCAUGAAAACAAAAAGCAAAAAUAACCUUGGGGUGGAAGAUGGAUGGAACACCUGUGGCAGCAGACUAAAGGGCUGCAUUUGGGAAGAAGUGGGAUCUGUUUGGUCUGGGUCAGAGUUGUAGGGUUCUAGCUGCUAAAUGUGGAAUCCAAGGGAGAGCUAUUUGUCUGGGGUCAUUUCCAAAGGGAUCCUAUGCAAGAGGGCUUCUGCCAGGUGGUGAGGCAGCUUUAAAAGGAAGAAGCUGAGAUUUACCCUCAGGAACAGGAGCUGAUGAGGGAUUGCAAAUAGCCAACCAACAGACGUCUGAACGAUGAGCAGGAAGUUGGGUAAAGAGUUGGGGAGGAGUGUCCUGAGUCUAAAUGAUUGCAUGUGCAAAAGCUGAGGGAUAAGAGAGGGCCUGAUUUAUUUGUAGACCUGAAAUGUGUCUAGCAUGAUUGAAUGCUCUGUGUGUGUGGUCAGGGUGAUGAUGACUCUAGGUUGGAGGAGUGGCAUGAGAUGGAGAAGGGUGAGAAGAGUCCAGCCCUCCUUAGGUAUAUUAUGGGAUUUGGAAUUUAUCUUAAAGACAAUGGGAAACUUCUGAAAGAUGUGAUAUGAUCAGUCUUGUGUUUUAGGAAGUUUGCUUUGGCUGUGGCCAAUAGAGUAGAUGGUAGAGUCAAAGAGUGGAACUGGGGAGCUAAAUAAAAGACCAUGGCUGUAGUCAGACAAGGGAUCAUGGUGGGCUGGACUAAGGACGUGCUAGUGGGAAAACAAGACAGUAGCCAGAUUCAUGAAACAGGUAGGAAAAAGGUGACUGACUUGAGGUGGGGAGAAGGAUUGGUAAAAAAGGGCAGAAGAAUCAUGUACUAUUCCCAGAUUUCUUUCUUGAAUAACAGAGUAGAAGACGUUGCUAUUCAAUGAGGUGGUGAAGACAAGAUCAAAGCAGGUUUGAGGAACAGAUGCUGAUUUCUGUGAUGAAUGUACAGCAUGUGAGGCACAACGUGUGCUUCUGUGUGGAGAGGUCGAUUUGGUAGUUGAUAUAUAAGACUUGUACCCAGGAGGAAGAUUUGCACCCAAGCUUUACAUUUAUGCAUUAACAUAUGAUCUACUUUUGAAGCCAUGUGAGUGGAGUGUGUACAGUGAGCAGAGAAGAUAGUCCUGGACAGACCCCAAAGGAAUAAUGAUGUUUAAGAAAGAAGAAACUAAGAAGGGGACAAGAAGGAACACCAGAGGAGAAGGAAAAUCGAAAGACAAGAGUAACAUGGAAGAGUGGUGUUGGGAAGGAGAUGCACUCCUUCUGUCAGAUAAGGAACGAACAUCUCCACUGGUGAUGAGGUGCUCAGGGUGAGUCUGAUCAUGACCAAGUCUAGGGGGCUAGGUGACCUGGUAAGUGAGAGGUGGAAAAGCAAAAACAGCUUGUGUAGAGAAUGCUUGUUCUGCCAUGGCCAAUAAACUUGUGAAAACAUCUUCCAACUGAACUAAUAAUAAGGGAAGUUGAAAUAAAACUAUAGUCUUACAGCCAAAGAUUUAAAUGACUGCCAAUCAAAACUGAAUGUCAACAAGUAAGUGAAGAAGUGAACACUACCAGUUGAGAGGUAAAUUGGUACAAACUUCCUAGUGGUGUUUUGAUAACAUCUAAAGAUUUAUUCACAACAUUUUUCAAGAUGUUAUGGUCUAGUUAGAAACACUUGGCUAAAAAUGUAUUUGAUGGUGGUAUCAUGGUAGGAUGCCAAAGGGCUUAGCAUAGGGGACUCCCUGUAUAUUACAAUGAAUUCACUUUUUAAAUUCAUUUUUCUUUGUGGUAAAAUAUACAUAACAUUUACCAUUUUAACCAUGUUCAGGUGUACAACUUGGUGGCAUUAAGUACAUUUACAAUGUUGUAUAACCAUUAUCACUAUCCAUUUCUAGAAUUUUUCAUCAUCCAAACUAAAACCCUCUUCUCAUUAAACAGUAACUCCCCAAUCUCCCCUCCUCCCAGGCCCUGGUAACCAUCAUUCUACUUUCUGUCUAUGAAUUUGACUACUUUCUGUCUAUGAAUUUGACUACCUACUCUAGGUACCUCAUAUAAGUGGAAUCAUGUAAUUGUCCUUUUGUAUCUGGCUUAUUUCACUUAGCAUUAAGUUUUCAAGGUUCAUCCAUGUUGUAGCAUGUCUCAGAACUUCAUUCCUUUUUUAAGACUGAAUAAUAUUCCACUGUAUGUAUGUAUUACAUUUUGUUUAUCCAUUCAUUUGUUUCAGUGGAGGAGUUUUUCCUUUCCUUCCUUCCUUCUUUCCUUCUUUCCUUCCCCUCUCUCUCAUUCUUUCUUUCUCUUUCUUUCUCUCUUCCUUCUUUCCUUCCUUUCUCUCUUUCUUUCUCUUUCUUUCUUUCUUUCUUUCUUUCUUUCUUUCUUUCUUUCUUUCUUUCUUUCUUUCUUUCUUUCUUUCUUUCUUUCUCCUUCCUUCCUUCCUUCCUUCCUUCCUUCCUUCUUUCUCCUUCCAGUUUCAUUGAGAUAUAAUUGACAUACAGCACCAUGUAAGUUUAGGGUACACAGCAUAAUGACCUGACCCACAUGCACCAUGGGAUGAUCACCACAAUAAAUCGAGCGAACAUCCAUCAUCUCAUAGAGAUAGAAAAUAAAAGAAAAAGAAAAAAAUUUCCUUGUGAUGAGAACUUUUAGAAUUUACUUUCUUAACAACUUUCAUAUAUAACAUAUAGCACUGUUAAUUAUAUUUAUCAUGAUGUACGUUACAUACCUAGCACUUAUUUAUCUUAUAACUGGAAAUUUAUACCUUUGACUACCUUCAUUCAAUUCCCCCACCCCCAGCCCCCUGCCUCUGAUAACCACAAAUCUGAUCUCUUUUUUCUACGAGUUUGUUUGUUUUUGAAGUAUAAUUGACCUACAACACUACACAGUUCCUGGUGUACAGCAGUGAUUCAAUAUUCCCCUACACUACAAAAUGAUCACCAUGAAAAUCUAGUUACCAUCUGUCAACACACAAAGGUAUUACAUUAUUAUUGACUGUAUUUCCCACACUGUACAUUUCAUACACAUGACUCAUCUAUUUUGUAGCUGGAAGUGUGCACCUCUUAAUCUCCCUCACCUAUUUCUCUCCUAUUUCAAUGGGGUUUUAAAAUAAGGGUGGUUCUAGUAUUAAUUACUUAAAAAAUUAUGAUAUAUUUACUGUUACAAGUAUAGAUAACAAAACAAAAACAUCAGUAUGUCUUUCAUAGGGAAUUAUAAAUAAAAUCCAAAUUAAUAUAGUUUUUUGGGGGGAUAUGGGGUGCAGAUGAGUAAAUUUAAUGAAUAUACAGGGUGAAUUAUUGGGUUAAAAUAAGGAGAAAAGCAGUUACGUGUAUUUCUCCAUUGACUUCUGUAUUGCUAUGUAUUCUUAUCCACUAACUCCUGCAUCCUUUCAGGAGAGGGGAUUUGUGUCCACUUUUAGGCACUGCAAUUGCUGCAAACAUAGACAAGUCCCUGUAGGAAGACUCCUGCAUGGAUGUGCUUCUCCAUCCCAUGGACUCAUGACAUUGGAAGGAGGAAGAGAGCUGAAUGACUCCAGGAAACCACCAUGAUGUUUGUAAGACUGGGCUUUCCAUUUUGGGGGAAUGAGGGAGUGUGGGUGUAGUUUUAGGGAGUUGAUGGAAUGUCUACUAACUGCAUCAUCACAGGAGAAAGCAACUGAAAUGUGGACUAGUUGAUUUGGUAGAGGAAUUAGCUAAAAUUUCUAGGCAUUUCUUUAUGUAGGAGCUGAGUAAGUUGAAUAUUUUGAGCCCAAGUUACAGAAAAACCUCCUAUUACAGAAAAAUUGGGUGGUGUAUAUGUAUACCAUAACUUUGUUUUGAAUUAAGAUUCUGAAUUUAGCUUUUCCCCGGAAACUCCAAGAUAACUAGAAAUUUCAAAAAGAAAUACUGUAGUCCUUUGGUUUGAAGGGGUUAGGUCAUGGGCUCUUAAAAAACAGUUUCUUUCUUAUUGUUCUGCUUGUUGCUUUUUUUCAUUCUACAUUUUAUAUAUAUAUAUAUUUAUUUAAAUUAAUUAAUUAAUUUGUUUAUUUUUGGCUGCGUUGGGUCUUCCUUGCUGCGUGCAGGCUUUUCUCUAGUGGCGAGCGGGGGCUACUCUUCAUUGUGGUGCACAGGCUUCUCAUUGCGGUGGCUUCUCUUGUUGCGGAGCACAGGCUCUAGGCGUGCGGGCUUCAGUAGUUGUGGUGCUUGGGCUCAGUGGUUGUGGCGCACGGACUUGGUUGCUCCGAGGCAUGUGGGAUCUUCCUGGACCAGGGCUCGGCCCGUGUCCCCUGCAUUGGCAGGCGGGUUCUUGACCACUGUGCCACCGGGGAAGUCCCUACAUUAUAUUAUAAAGAUAUAUACAUAUUACAUAGAGAGAUCUAAUUUAAGCAACUGCUUCAUAAUAUUACAUUGUACUUUGUAUUUAAAUUAUGCGGUUGUGUGGAUGGAUAUAUAAAUUGUGUCCAGUUUUUUCUCUAUUUUAAACAAUGCCACAGUGAACACCUAAAAAAACAAACAAAUAAACAAACAAAAAAACAGUUUCUUUUAUGAGAAAGCUGUGUCCUCUUAUUGAGGCUCUAUUAGAGAAAUUGCUUUUCAGUAGCAAGGAAGAUUUUAGAAGUAGGAAGAAUUAAUUACAACUAGUUAUACUAACUUAGAAUGGAUUUUGUUUCCUCCUUUAAUAUUUUUUGCUUGUAAGAGAAAAUUUGAGGCCUACUUCUGACUACAUAGAACUGUAGAGAGCAAUGUGCUUUUAAUAUAAUUUCUGUUACAUAAUUUAUUCUCCAAUUCCUUGUUAGCUUUUACAGGAAUUUAUGACAUAUAAUAGUUCAGUAAGGUGGCUGGCUAGAUAUGAGAUAUAUUAAAUGAGAAGGUUUUCUAUUUAUCUCCAGUAACUGGCUAGAAAAUAUCCUGAUAAAAAGGAUUUCCAAUACAUAAUGAUAAAAGCAAAAUAGCCAUUUCUAGAAAUAAAAUUCUGGUGAGAAAUGGCUGGAACUUACUCAAAAUAAAUUGAAAACCUGUUUUAGAGAGUUGUAAAGGAAAAUUUAAAUAAAUGGAGCACUGUACCACAUUCCUGAAUGGGAAGAAGUGUGUAUUAGUCAGCUUGGGCUAUCAUAACAAAAGACCACAGAGUAGGAGGUUUACAUAACAGAAAUAAAUAAAUAAUAAAAAUAAAUAACAGAAAUUUAUUUUCUCAAGGUCCUGAAGGCUUGGGAAAGCAGUUUGCGAUCUAAUAGACUUUAGCCAUAAAUUAAUCCUACAAAUUCCUCUGUGGACCAAGUAGUUCAUCAUAGCAUUAUUUAGCCUAGUAAAUAGUAGUGAAUAAACCUUUAGAAAUGGAAAAAAAGUGAAUCCCUGUACAUCUACUCAAAGCUAAGUUUAUUGAGGGUUUAUUCUGUGCCAGACACUACAUUCAGCUCUUUUCAUGAUUUUUUCACUUAAUCUUCACAAUAACCUCAAAAGGUAGAUAUUAUCCUCUUUUAGGAGUUUUAGUAAGCUAAUAAGCUGUUUAUAAUAAACAUAGAAUAACAUGAAAAGUGCUCGUGACAUACUAAACAUAAAAGCAAGACACAUGUAUCGAGAAUGAUUAUAACCAUGCAUAAGAAAUAUGAAUAGAAAAAUAAUGUGACUAGAAAAAUAAUGAAUAGAAUAGAAAAUAAUGAAAAGAAGUCAGUGAAAGGUGAACACAUUCUUAUUUAUUCCAAUUUGCUUUCAUGGGUACGCAUGAAUCUUGAGACAAUAACCACCACCACCACUAUAAAACUAUCAAACAUUAUUUUAAAAACAAAAACCAGAAAGAGAAAAAUUUAAGGGUAAGUCAGCCAGAAAUGUAAAAAAAGCAGGAAGUUAUAUUUCACUCAGCUAAAAGCUGAGAUCUUGAUGGUGGUCCCCAAGGCCUGCUGUGAUGGGCUCCCUCCCCUCCCCUCUGGCUUCAUCCCCCAGCUCUCCUCCUCUUUUGUGUCCCCAGCUCCACAAGCCUCUUCUUUCUCAGCACACCAGACACUGUCACUCCAUGGGGCCUUGGUCCAAGGGGUCCCUCUUCCCAGAAUUCUCUUCUUGCAGCUACCUCUAAGAACACCUUUCCAGGUGACACUUACCCAGUAUCACCUUCUCAGUGAGGCUCCUCUAGUCAAGAUUGCACCCUACCUCCAUCCUACCAUCCCACCUCCAACCUCUGUAUCUUGUCCUUCAUUUUCUCUUUCCAUAUCACCUGUCACCUUCCAACAUACUGGAGAAUUGGCUUAUUUCUUUUGCUUCAUGUUUAUUACCUGUCUCACUCCACUAGAAUGUAAGCAUCUCAAGGGCAGGAGAUUUACACACAAAUCCUCGUCCACAUUGCAUCUCAAGUAUCCAGGACAAUGCCUGGAAUCCAAAAAUAUUUGCGGAGUGUUGCCAAAGGUACUGUCCUAGAGUAGAGAAAAGGCCUGAAGAGUGAAAAAAAAAAAAUGAUCCCAAGGUGAGUUCUGGGAAAUACAAGCAGUGGCCUACUUGGAAAGUGAUUAUAGUAGAUCUUACACUGUUUGACUUAUCAGUACUGUUGAUCUUAUGACACCAGCCCCACCAAGAAUAAUUAGGUUAAGACUUUGCAGUUGUGACAUUUAUGGCUUACUUCAUCUAGGUUUUAGUUUGCUUGCAAAUAAGUCAAUGUCUUACAAUGAUUUUAACAUGGGGAAAGGUCCACAGUAGUAUACUUUGUUCUAGCCUUUUUUUAUUCAUACUCUGACUCUUUUGAAUAGUUGUGGCUUUCUCAGAACUCUCUGCACCUUAUCCUUUUUUCUUUCCAGCCGUAGGUGGCAGCACACCACUGCCUACAAACGGCUGCGUUUGUAAGUCAGAGCUGUUGGUUAGGAAAUAGCUAAUGAAUAAUCAGUCCAAGCUGAUUGGCAAAUUAAUGUCUUCAUUAAGUGAACUAACCGGCUUCCUUUAUAAACAAGGUCAGAGUAUUUAUAACCCAGUGCAUUUCGUAAAGCAAAAUCUAUCUACACUGAUGUGACCUCCCUAAGGUACCCAUGAUUGAUCUGCAUGGAGCAUAUGCAAAACCUCACUUGGAAAACCAUCUUUAAUAAGGACUGGUACCAUUCUGAUGUAAUCGUUAAUAAAAGGCACCCUUGCUAUGCAGCCUCAUUUUUCUCACACGAGGUAAAUGAAAAAGUGAAUACCUUAAACAGGAGCUACUAUUAUAAGAUGAUAUUGGGUGGCCUGUUCCAAAUUGAGUUCUUAGUAAUAAAAAAUAAAGUGUGAUCCUUAUUGAUCAAAUAUAUCUUCUGUCACUUAGGCUAGACAAAAACUUAUUUCACAUUUAGAGUACGCUGUACAGGUAUAAAGUUUGAUGUUUACCGUCUACUCUAUGUCACAUUUCGAGUGAUUCAAAUGCUUAAUGUUGCCAUCAUUGUCAGAGAACUAUGUGAGAAGUUCAGAAAAUCUUCUCACGAGGUGAUCAGGUGUCAGGGACCUGGUGAAUUUCUCUUUCUAGAACAGUGCUGUACAACAGAAAUAUAAGGCAAGCCACAAAUAUGAACUGUAUAUGUAAUUGUAAAUUUUCUAGGAGCUGCAUUGAAAAACGCAAGAGAGGAAAUUAAUCUUAAUUCUGUAUUGUAGUGUCUUUAACCCAAUAUGUAAAAGUAUUUAGCGGGUAAUCAAUAUAAAGACAACUGAGGUAUCCUACAUUCUCUUUUUCACUCUAAGUAUUUGAACUCUGGUGUCUAUUUUACACUCACAGCUCAUCUCUGUUCAGACUAGCCUCAUGUCCAGUGCUUGAUAUCCACGUGUGGCCAGUGGGCACUGUGAUAUCCAGCUCAGCUCUAGAGAUUUAGUGUCUGUUAUGGAUUCAAUUGUGUCCCCUCAACAUUCAGAUGUUGAAGACCUAACCCCCAGUACCUCAGGAGGUGACCUUAUUUGGAGACGAGAUCUUUACAGAGCUAAUCAAGUUAAAAUGAGACCGUUAGGAUGCGUCCAAAUCCAGUAUGACUGAUGUCCUUAUAAAAUGGGGGAAUUUGAAGACAGACUCGCACAGGGAGAGCGCCAUGGGAAGAUGAAGACAGGGAAGGGGGUGAUGGGCCUACCAGCCAAGGAGCACCAAAGAUUGCUGGCAAGCUACCAGAAGCUAGAGGAGAGGCGUGAAACACCUCUGCCUCACCGCCCUCAGAAGGAACUGACCCUGCUGUCACCUUGAUCGUGGACUUCUAGCCUCCAGAACUGUGAGACAAUAAAUUUCUGUUGCUUAAGUUACCCAUUUUCCUGCUGUUGGUAGUGGGCACUUUGUUCCAUCACUCUGCAGCUUUUCUUUUCCUACCUUGAACCUCUUCUCCUCUUUCUGCACUUUCCCUUCUGUUCUCACCACUCAGCCUCCCAGCCUCCUCUCAUGGAAUCUCCUAGUAUUUCGCUCCCAUGCAGACAGGCUGGGAGUUUCCCCUUCAGUGAGCAUGAGAGGGGCACAUCCUGAGCAGUGAGUAAAGAAGGCUGAUUUGCUUCAGGUCUCUAGCGGGGAUAAUAUUACCCACUAGGCUGUCUCCUUAGAGCUGCUAUAACGCAGGUCCAGUGCUGUUUGAGAAAGUGCUUUGAAAACUGUACAUAACUGCAUAGAUGAGAAUGAGUGUUUUGUAGGUGGGAUGAAGUGUUUCUCAAAUUAUUUUCAUUUCUUCUCCCUUUAAUUAUCUGGGCUCCCCACUUCACAGAAGGAAAUGAAUCAAAGGGGAAAAGACCCUGACACUUUCUUGCCAUCUGGCAAUAGUGCGCUUCUAUUGGUUGUCUCUCCAGCACAUAAGGUACCUUUCUGCGGACACUGCAGAAGCUCCCUCCUCCCCCAUUCACAAACCAGGUGCUGUGGGUGACAUGGAUCCCACUCCAUCUCUAGAAAUGGGUCCCAACCUGUGUGUAUAUAUAUGUAGACACACAUAUUCUAUUAAUCUGUUUCUGUUUCUCUGGAGAACCGUGACUACAUCUAUUGUUCUUAUUAAUUCAUGGCAAGGGGUCAUAGUGCUUAAAAAGAUGAAAGGCAGGGCUUCCCUGGUGGCGCAGUGGUUGAGAGUACGCCUGCCGAUGCAGGGGACACGGGUUCGUUCCCCGGUCCGGGAAUAUCCCACGUGCCGCGGAGCGGCUGGGCCCGUGAGACAUGGCCGCUGAGCUUGCGCGUCCGGAGCCUGUGCUCCGCAACGGGAGAGGCCACAACAGUGAGAGGCCCGCGUACCACAAAAAAAAAAAAAAAAAAAAAAAAAAAAAAAAAAAAUGCACAAGAGCAGGGACCCAGAUUGACUAGAAAGGCCUCAUUAGUUCCAGUGGAGGGGGAGUUUAUAGGCACUCCCACUGACAUUGGAGGAGGUCUCUGCACUGGGGUGAGCAACCUGAACCUUUACCCAGCAGGGCAGCCCCACAGAUACUCGCUCUUCUGCCCAGGUGUCUCUUGGUAAAGGCAAGUAGAGGAACCAAAGCAAUUACCUAGAUAAUUAAGGAAAAACAAACCUGUGUGUGGCAGGUAACUUGGGGAACUUCCACUCAAUUUUCUAGGCAACCAUUGGAAUUCUUUGCCUCCCUGUUGUCAGCAGGAAUGUGAUCUGGCUCACAAGAGCUACUUUAACAAUUAUAAUGCUCUCAGUUGGUAAAUAUUGCUUCAUAGGGACUCCUCCUGUACUCAUCAAUCUAGAGUUUGAAAUAGCUCCAUGGGAAUCUCAGGGCCGUGUUGUUCCCACUGAGUCAUGGCAAAACCCCCGGUAACUGCUGUCAAAAUGUUAGGCUAUUUGUGAAACUUUGGAAAUCAGCUUCUGGCAGCUCUUGUUUUGUGAUUCUGGGUGAGAUGAGACCUGACCUGCAACCUCACAGGCUGGGCAAAGGCCAUUCCAGUUGUGAUGGAGGCCAAGGAAGAAGAUUUGCUGUCAGUCUCUAUAUGAGGCAUGUGUUGCAUCUUACCUCCAAUACCUUCCUAUGAGGCAAGGUCCUACUACCCUCGCUUUAGAGAUGAGGAAAUGGAGCAUCAACCAGGCACACACUGGUGAGUGACAAAACUAGAAUUUCCACCUAGAUCCUUUUGAUUCCAAAGCUCUUUUUACUCUCCCAGUGGCUCUGGGAGAAUCCAGGGCACCUAUAUUUUUAAAAAGCUCAUAGUUGUUUCUGGUAUCGGUUGGACUGGAAACUGUAUGUUAAGGCAAUGGUUCUCAAAGUUUAGCAUGUGUUAGAAUCACCUGUAAGACUUGUAAACACACAGAUGUCUGGUACCACACCUGGAGAGUCUGUCUGAUUUGGGUCUGGGUUUGGGCCCAAGUAUUUGCACUUCUAAACAGGUUCCCAAGUGAUGCUGCUGCUGGUACCCAGGGACCACACUGUGAGAACCACCGCUACAUUCGGGACCUCAGAAUUUGUUGUGAAAAUCAGCAUAAUGAGAAUGAAGUCAGAUAUCUACAAACUCACCUUAGAGAGAAUGGUUCAGAAUAAGUCCUGACUAAUAGUAAAACUAACACAGUCUAGAGAGAAUAUGCCUAUCAUAGACGGUUGGUCAGAAGGGAGGCAUUAAUUAAUGGGGCAGAAAAUAUAUCUGACAGUUUCCUUCUGAAGGCAAGAAGUGAUGAAAGGGUCAGUUUCUACCUUUCCUUCUGAUUCUCUGGACACCAGGCAACCUCGUGAACGUUAAUUCAAUUAGGUUAUUUGAUUAACUUAUUUUGUUUUCCAGCUGUCUGAUAUCUGAAGGAUGGUUUCAAGCAGGACUAUUUUUCAGGACCACCGCUUUGCCUAAUCCCUGCGGGUGCCAUUCAUAUUGAAUUCUGUGCAAAUGGUGCCCCCUGGAGGAGAGGAAAAGAAUAUCCUCCUAAGUGAAGGAUCUAGCAUUGUUGGUUAAACAUGAUUUAUGCGCCCCUGGAGUCUACUCCUUUCACAUUAAACUAGCAAAACUGAGGACCAGUCCCAGGGACCUAUGAGAAUAUUCUCUCAGAGAGGCCUGCCCUUGAGAAAGAUUUUCCUAGUCAAUAUUCCAAGUAACCCAGGUCCUAAAAUUCUUGGAACAAGUGAAAAUGGUAGGAGAAGGUUGUUAACAAAUCCAAAUGCUAUCAGGAUGUGUAUCUUGCUUCUCUGUUUUGUGGGGAUAAAAUUAUUUCAAGAUUUGACUUACAAAGUAGGAAUUGUGACUGAAACUGAAACCAAUGUUUGUCUUCAUGAGAGAGCAAGAAGUCUCUUGGUUGGAACCCUUUGGUACAGAAGGGUUAUUCUACCAUGAGCAUAAAACCCGGAAGAGGCUCUGCAUGAGACCCACCAAUGCUCCAUGUCUCAUGACCCUCUUCCCCCCCACUGAAAGGUCAAACUUAUCCUUUGUGUCCAUGCUUUUCUAUGACCUGCAAGUUUUCCAAGAACCCCUGUAUUCAAAGCAUAGGUAUACCACUUGACAGCUUUGUGUCCUUACUUAACCUUCCUGGGCCUUUGUUUCCUUAUUUGUGGGAUGAUUAUAAGGGUUACAGAUAGAGAGAUAUAGAUUGAUAAAGCUGAGAGCAGUGAUUGACACAUCCUUGCGUUCUGUAAAUGUUACUCACUAUUGUUAUUGUUCAGACAUGCUUGUUAAGAAUGCCCUGUGAAUUAUUUGUACAUGUUGGAUAUUUAAGGGAUUGCAAAGUAUUUAAUUAGUGGAGAUAGUAUUGAGGGGUCCAAUCCACAUCUACAGUGGGUAGAGCUAGAAAGGCAUGGAGGAUAGUUAGAUAAGAGAACAAGUAGAGAGAUGUGAACUCCAGAGUAGAGAGCUCAUCUGGAAAGUAGGUUAUCAGGAAUAUAUGAUUCCAAUCUGAUGAUAUAGAAGGAGCUGUGAAUGUGGGAGGCAUAUUUGGGAGAGAAAAAACAAAUGUUGUUCAUGCUUGUGUUACCUAAACUCUCUCCUCCCUUUUAAGGGUCAUCUCCUUCUAAUGAGAGUUGUUUAUACUGCUGCUUGUAGACUACUAGGGUCCAGAAAUCAAUUUUUUAAAACAUCUUUAUUGGAGUAUAAUUGCUUUACAAUGGUGUGUUAGUUUCUGCUGUAUAACAAAGUGAAUCAGCUAUACGUAUACAUAUAUCCCCAUAUCUCCUCCCUCUUGCGUCUCCCUCCCUCCCACCCUCCCAAUCCCACCCCCUAGGCGGUCACAGAGCAUCAUCAAGCUGAUCUCCCUGUGCUAUGCGGCUGCUUCCCACUAGCUAUCUAUUUUACACUUGGUAGUGUAUAUAGCCCAUGCCACUCUCUCACUUCGUCCCAGCUUACCCUUCCCCCUCCCCUUGUCCUCAAGUCCAUUCUCUACGUCUGAGUCUUUAUUCCUGUCACUAGGUUCUUCAGAACCACAGAAAUCAAUUUAUAUGAUCUGUGACCAGCAUUAAAAAAAACAAAACAGAACAGAAUAUAAACAACCUGUGUCCAUUCAUUGCACAUGGUGAGUAAUAUUGUUUUAUAAAACUUUGCUCAGUUAUGCAUAUACAUGUGUAUAGGGUCAUGAUGUACAAUGUAUUUUUUACUGUGGCUUUUGGUACAAGGAGUUUGAAAGUCACUGCUCUAGUGUAUUCACUGGGGUGGGGAGUUUUCUCUGCUCUUGCAGGGUCCUCUUACCUAUUCUCCAGGCUGCUUUUUUCUCCCCAGACUUUUCUGAGCCAAAGCAGAUACCUACUUGUUGCCCUUCUAGUGGGGCUGGGGGCUCAGGACACCUUCUAAUGCAAUCUUCCCACUUCUGCAAAAUCCCAGAGAUGAUGGUGAGCAUGAUGGGGAUCUGUUCCCCUCUGUUUUUGUUUUUAUGACUCAGUCCCUCACUUAUUUCAAACUUUUUAUUCAAGUGUUGGAGAAACUAUGAGAGAAAUUAUUUAAACUUUGCUAGUUUACUUUUCCUGAAGUCCAAGGAAGGAGUGUCCUGGAAUUGAAAUCCUGUGCGGGGCUCACUUCCUAGAUGCUCCUGGGUUAUCACUGUGAUUCCCUGACCUCAGGGCCACAUCCCUCACUGCAGGAGGGCUCUUCUUGCAAUUUAAAACCUGCAGAUAUUUAUUCAUUUUGGGAGGAAAAUGCUGCCUUGUACUCACAGAGUUCCAUACAUUUUCUAUUUACUUCUGAAUAUUUAAAAAAAGCAAGUCAAGUUUAAAAUAUCCAUUUCAGAUCCAUCUAUCCCCUCCCCUCCUCCCAGCACUGGCCAUGCUUUCCCAAGGAGACUUAGAGGAGGGAGAAAGCUUGGUCUGCUUUUUCACUCCUUAUCCCCGAUUUCUUGGGGCACCUUUCUCCUUGAUUGCAGAGGGGAGAUGGAAAGGGACGGAUAUGUCAUUCCUGGUGUGCAUUGGCCAUCUUCUUAGGCUGAAAUGGACCAAGUAGAGAUGCCCACUGAGGGCAGGCAUCCCAGGCUGCUUCCUUCUUGGGGUACAUGUGUGAGUUCUUCAUGAACCUUUCAGGAUCGGGACAGGGCUCCACAUCUUGUUUCCAUCCAAUGCCUUAACAAGGGAGACUAACUCUAGCUCAACCUCAUUGAAUGCCACCGCAGCUUUCACCACCAGCAGUACACCCUGCUGUUUCCCAUUGCUUGGGACAUCCACCCUGUACGUGGCCCUCUUGUUUGGGGUACAAUAAGACAGCUUAAGCCCAGCUACCUUCUGCAGUGUCCACCUGAGUCACUGAAGAGUCAGCUUUCCUUCAAAUACCAAGUGGUAGGAGGGCUGGUUUCCCCACUGCUGGUCUCUCUCUCUGCCCUGUUGGCUCUCCUCUCCCCUGCUCAGAGAUGUUCAGAGAGUGGGCAGAUCAGCAUGUCUGCUCCAUGAGCUGAUGUCUCCCUGUGGUUCGAGAUGCCUGUCUCCUCUUGUUUCUGACACCCCUACUGUCUAUGAGAGCUCCCCAUUUUUUCUUCCUCCAUGGAAAACACCGAGGCUCUCAACUCUCUACCGAUGACUCACAAUAAGGAAUCUCUCCUCCUUCUCCUCUUCCUGGUUUUCUGCUUGUUUGGGGUGGGGGGAAUGGUUGAAAGCAGUACAGUUGGUUAAGUCGGUCUAUUAAAACGUCCUGGAGGGGUUCAUGCCUCCAGCUGUUGGCAGCUCUUCUUAGAAUGGGAGGUGCUUGAUGUGUCUUCGCUUUCUGCUCCAGGUCUUGGUCGCCCAUUUUGAGACAACAGAAUUAGUAUCAUCGACACCCCACUGCACGUGGGACGAGAGAUCCACAUCAUCUACCCCAUCCAUACUUUAAAGAGUUAAGUUGGGUGCUUGCUUCGGCAGCACAUAUACUAAAAUUGGAGCGAUGCAGAGAAGAUUAGCAUGGCCCCUGCGCAAGGAUGACCCACAAAUUCGUGAAGCGUUCCGCAUUUUUUUACAAUGGAAUAUUACCCAGCCAUAAAAAGGAACAAAAUAGUACCAUUUGUAGAGGCGUGGAUGGACCUAGAGUCUGUCAUACAGAGUGAAGUAAGUCAGAAAGAGAAAAACAAAUAUUGUAUAAUAUUGCUUAUAUGUGGAAUCUAGAAAAAUGGUACAGAUGACCUUACUGGCAAAGCAGAAAUAAAGUCACAGAUGUAGAGCACAAUCUUAUGGUUACCAAGGGGGGGAAGGGGGGCACUUGGGAUGAAUUGGGAGAUUGGGAUUGACAUACAUACACUAAUAUGUAUAAAAUAGAUAACUAAUAAAAACCUGCUGUAUGAAAAAAAAAACUGCCUUUAUAUUAUUUAGCCAUUUUAGUAAACAAUUUACCAUACCUGUGGUAUGUCAUAUGUGAAUUUUAGAUAUUUUUUCCCCAAAUAGCAUCUGUUAAUUUACCAUCAUAGAAAUAGGCUUAACUAUUGUGAAAAAUUCAAAUGGUAAAAAAGGUACAUUAAAUGUCCACCCCUCUUUUUUAACCUAAAGCAGAUGUUACCCUGGACAGGGGCAGGGGCAAAUUAACAUAUGAAAUGGUAAGAACAGUGUCUCUGCUCUGACCACACACCCAGAAGUGCCCCUGGAAUGUCCAUCACCAUGACCUCUUGGCCGAGUCAAGGGGGUAACUCACGUUAUCAUUGGCGGUGGCAGUUCUCUUGCUGAAGCUAUCAGAAUUAAUGCCCUUCCUUACAGAUGCAGAUGUAGAGAAUGGACUUGAGGACAUGGGGAGGGAGGCAGGGUAAGUUGGGAUGAAGUGAGAGAGUGGCAUUGACAUAUAUACACUACCAAAUGUAAAAUGGAUAGCUAGUGGGAAGCAGCCGCAUAGCACAGGGAGAUCAGCUCGGUGCUUUGUGACCACCUAGAAGGGUGGGAUAGGGAGAGUGGGAGGGAGACUCAGGAGGGAGGGGAUAUGGGGAUAUAUGUAUAUACAUAGCUAAUUCUCUUUGUUAUGCAGCAGAAACUAACACAACAAUGUAAAGCAAUUAUAUUCCAAUAAAGGUGUUAAAAAAAAUUAAUGCCCUUCUUUAUCCUCUUUAUUCUCUUCUCUGUCCUGGGCUCCCAUUUCUGAAGCUCCUGCAGUGGCUUCAGUUGCAGUGUUGACAUAUUCCCUUCCAUGGCCACAGACCCCAGUGAUUUGCCCUCCAACCUGUGCAGUUGACAUAGAUGUGUGAUUUCAUAGCUUCCUCAUGGCCCUCACUCAUGAAGAGAAGAGUACCCUCUUCUCACUAGGGGUACUUUUCUUUGAUUUCUUCUUUCAGGUUUUCAUGCCUUCCCAGCUCAGAUCAAGCUUGAGACAAGUUACCCAGCACCUAAACUGAAAGGAAACAGCAUACCUGCAAAACUACAUCUGAAAUCGUUUAUUCUUCGUAACCACUAGUUGGGGGUACCUCCAGACUCUCGCACUUUCAGAGAAAAAGAGAAUUCCACGUACCCUUCAUCCAGUUUCUGCCAAUGGUUACAUCUUCCAUAACUAUAGUGCAAUGGCAAUAUCAGGAAAUUGACAUCGGUACAAUGUGUGUAUGUCAUUUUAUCCCAUGCUACAGAUUUGUGUAACCACCAUCACAAUUAAGAUACAAAACUAUUCCAUCACAAUAAAUAUCUCAUGCAUGCUACCCCUUUAUAGUUACACCUGUCUCUCUGUCCCGCACCAUUCCUUACCCCCGCUAAACACUAGUUUUUCUUCAUCUCUAUUAUAUUGUCAUUUUGAGAAUGCUAUAUGAAUGCAAUCAUCUAGUAUGUGACCUUUUGAGAUUGGCUUUUUUUCUUACUGGGCAGAAUCCUCUUAAGAUCCAUUCAAAUUGUUGCAUGUUUCCAGUUCAGUCUUUUUAGUGCUGAGUGGUAUUCCAUGGUGUGGAAGUAUCACUGUUUGUUUAACCAUUCACCUGUUGAAGUACAUCUGAGGAGUUUCUGGCCGUUUGCUAUUAUAAAUAAAGCUGCUAUGAACAAUCAUGUCUAGGUUUUUCUGUGGUCCUAAGUUUUCAUUUCUCUGGGAGAAAUUCUCAGGAGUGUGAUUGUUGGGUCAUAUGAUAAAUAUAAGUUGAGUUUAAUUUUGUUUUUUUAAAGAAGCUACCACAUUAUUUUUAAGAAACUGACGAGUCUAAGAAACUGCCAAAUCAUAUGGUGUAAAAGUGGAUGUACCAGUUUGUACUUCCACCAGCAAGGUAUUAGAGAUACAGUUUUUCCACAUCCUCAUAAACAUUUGGUAAUGUCACUAUUUUUUAUUUGAGCUCUUCUGAUAAGGGUGUAGUGAUAUCUCUUCAUAAUCUUUUAAAUAUUCUUUUAAAAUAUGAUUUUUAGUAGUUGGGGUUAUCUUCCACCAGCAUAUAUUUGAGAUAAAUGGUUUUCUGUACCCUCGUAACCAAUAACCAUUGUUGCCUGUUGAAUGAUUUUUCCUCAACAAUUCCAUUCUCUCUGUACUAUUGAGUUAUUACCUGGCCAGAGAAAAUAAUCUACAGGUUGUCUUUUUCUUUACAUAAAGUAUCAUAUCUUGCCUUUGUGUUACCUACUCUGUCAUAGACUUUCAGGGAGAGAGAGAGAGAGAGAGAGAGAGAGAGAGAAAGCGGGAGAGAGAGAGAGAGAGAGAGAGAGCGGGAGAGAGAGAGCGGGAGAGAGAGAGAGAGAGAUGAGAGAAUCAGAGUGUAUCCUGGUUUAAAAAGAAUACAUCUGAUGCUGUUGCUCAGAUCCAGGCUGUGUGUUUAUUUGUGUUGAUUUUUGCCUGGUAUAUAUCAUCUGGGGGCAUUUUAAGUCACAGUUAUCCGAUCAACAUAAACGUUCUUCACUGCCGUGCACAAUGAAUUCUUGUAUUCAUUUAUCAGAACAUGGCUGAGGAGUCGCCUUUGCCCUUCCAGAGAACACAGCUCAUUGUCUGAACUUCCUUUCAUUGACAACUGGGGAGGGCUUCAGAGAGGAGGAAUACGAAGGCAGGGAUACAUGAGGAGGUAGGUUUAUGUAGGUGAUUAAUGCAGUUUCAUAAAAAAAGAGUUUUGCUAAGGGAACAAAGUGCUACUGCAUUCGUGGGAAGCCAAGAUUGAGGAGCUCUCCUUAACACAUUAGGGCAAGAGCAGGUCGAUGGAUAUAAUUGCCAAACUCCCUUCCUAGGAAGAAGCAAGUCCCCCGAACCAAAAGCUAAUGGCAUGACAGUCAAUUUAAAAAUGGACGUUAGACCCGAAGCAAAUGUGACGCCCAUUAAACUGUACAGGUUGCAAAAGUAGAGCCCAUAAUUAGAGCAUUAGUCAGCUGGCUGUGACACCACAGGGUCCAGGGAAGAUGGAUUCACCAGCCUGAUGCUGAACUUUCCGGCUGAGUUUAGCAGGUUCACCUCUUGUUGCUGUCGCCACAGAUAAUCCUCAUGGGACAUGAGGUCUUAAUGUAUAAGUUCACCAAAGCUAGAUUUGAGACUUAAUAACUCCAUAAAUCUCUGGGAGAUGUUUUUUUCUAAUUGACUACUUAGUAACAACAUUUAUUGAUGAUGAGCUGAAUUUUUAGAAAUCAAUUGCUAAUUAGUGACACAGACAAGAAAAUGAUAUAAGCAAUGCCCAGGUUGCAGGAAAAGCUAUGAAAAAAGGUAAAAGCUGGUGGAUAAAAAAACAACUAAAAGGCAAACAAGACUUGAAUGAAAAGCAAGCCAGCUAUAGAAAAACUCCUUAGGCUUGAAAAUAGGAGACCUAGCAACUAGUUCUAAUGUCAGCAUGAAAUGUGAGAGCCUAUCCAGCUGUUUUUACCUUCUUCAUGUUUGUUAUAUGGACAAAACCAAGUGAACUGGAGAGUCUGAUAUGGGUUCAUUCUUCUUUUUUUAAGGUAGACUUUAUUUUUUAGAACAGUUCUGGGCUCACCGUAAAAUUGAGUGAGAGGUACAGAGAUUUUCCGUAUAUUCCCAGCCUCCACAUAUGCACAGCCUCCCUUACUGUCAAAAUCCCAAACCAGAGUGGUGUAUUUUUCACAAUGGAUGAACCACAUUGAUAUGUCAUUGCCAUCCUAAGUCCAUGGUUUACAUUAGGGUUCACUCUUGUUUUAGUACAUUCUAUGGGUUUUGACAAAGUAUAAAUGAUAUACCUCCACCUUUCUAAUACACAGACUAGUUUCACUGCUCUGAAAAACUUCUGUGCUCCACCUCUUCAUCCCUCCUUUCCCCCAACCCCUAGUAAACAAUGAUCCUUUUAGCGUCUCCACAGUUUUCACUUUCUAGAAUGUCAUGCAGUUAAACAGUAUGUAGCUUUUUCACUUAGAAAUAUGCAUUUAAUUUUCCUGCAUGUCUAUUCAUGGCUCUAUUUAGCGUUGAAUAAUAUUCCAUUGUCUGGAUGUACCACAGUUUGUCCAUUCACCUAUUGAAGUACAUCUUGGUUGUGUCCAGGUUUUGGCAAUUAUGAAUAAAGCUGCUCUAAACAUCUACAUGCAGGUUUCUGUGUGAAUGAAAGUUUUCAGCUCAUUUGGGUAAAUACCAAGGAAUGCAAUCAUGGUGCCAGUGGAGUCAGUGUGUGGUGAGAGCCUGCUUCCCAGAUGGCCAUGUUUUAGCUGAAAUGUCACAUGGCAGAAGUGGGUAAGGGAACUUUCACAGGUCCAUAUAAGGGUACUGAUAUCAUUCAUAAGGGCUCUGCCCUUAUGAUCUAAGCACCUCCAAACACCAUCACAUUGGGGAUUAGUUUUCAACAUAUGAAUUUGGGGGCCACAAACAUUCAGACCACAGCAGAUCUUAAUUUGGGGAAAUUCUCAGUCAUCAUUGCUUCAAAUAUUUCUUCUGUUCCUCAUUCUCUUCUCCUUCUAGUAUUCCCAUUAAGGGUAUGAUAUACAUUUUGUAGUGGUCCCACCGUUCUUAAAUAUUCUGUUUCAUUUUUUUUCCUGUCUUUUACUUCUUUGCUUUUUUGUUUUGAAAGUUUCUACUGACAUCCCCUUAAGCUCAGAGAUUCCUUCCUCAGCUGUGUACAGUCUACUAAUAGGCCCAUGGAAGGCAUUCUUGAUUUCUGUUACAAUGUAUGUUGACCUUUAGCAUUUAUUUUUAAUUCUUUCUUAUAAUUUCCAUCUCUCUGCUUACAUUGCCCAUCUGUUCUGGUAGGCUGUCAGUUUUAUCCAUUAGAACUCUUAGCAUAUUAACCAUAGCUGUUUUACAUUUCUGGUUGGAUAAUUCCAAUCUCCCUGUCAUAUCUGAGUCUGGUUCUGAUGCUUGCUUUUUCUCUUCAUACUGUGUGUUUAGUCUUAUAAUUUUUUCUUGAUAGCCAGACGCCAUGGUCUGAGUUAAAUAAACUGGUGUAAAUAGACCUUUAGUAAUACGGUGGGAAGGUGUGUGUAUGGGGUGGGAAAUGCUCUAUUGUGCUAUGAUUUAGUCUUUUUAUGAGCUUGUGCUUCUGGACUGUGAACUUCAUAAGGGUUCUCAGUCUCCCACUUAGGUGGGAUAAAAUGGCUGCAAUUGGGUGUUUUCCUUCCUCCCCCAUCUGAAAGUCUGGAGAAGGAUGGAGUUGGGUAUUUCUCUUCCUCAGGUUGAUUAGGUUUUCAAAAAAUCCCAGGAGUUUAGGUUCUGGUAAGAUAGUUUCUCUUGAUGGCUGGUCUUAUUAAGAGCAGAGUGCUCUGGCAUAUUUCAAAAUUGUUACUUUUCUCCUCACCCCAAUGAAAGCAGGAGGAGAUUUUUCUCCUCUAUUCAUUAUUCUCCUAUAUUUGCUCACUGCUCACUCUUUUUAUUCUAUAUUCUCUGUGAGAACCAGAAGAUUCUCACAGAGCUCCUGGAGGUAAAACUCAUAAAAGUGUGGGAGCUCCCUCUGACUGGGUCUUCCUGGAGUUUUUAACUCAGACUUGUCCACACUGAGCUUCCAGCAAUUCAUCAAUACAGUUUAUGUUUUCCUACCCUGGCUCUGGUUCCUGCGAAGGUGUCUGCUCAUGGAUUGCUGCUCCAGUAAGUAGUGAUUUUCUGCAUUCAUCUAUUAUUUUCUCCAGUUGUAGAGACAAUAGUUUGCCCUGUGACCUCACUUCUCCCACAGAUCUGAGAAGACUUGUUAUUUUUCAGCUUGUUCAGAUUUUUGCUUGUUAGGACACAGUGACAAUUUCCAAGGCCCUUAUGUGCUGGACCGAGAAUUGGAAGUUGGUUCAUCCUUUAAACAAUUAAUAGUCUUUAUCUUUUAGAGUGGUUUUAAGUUUAAAAAUUGAGCAUAUAGUACAGAGUUCCUAUAUACUUCCUCUCUCUGUCUCAAUUUCCCCUAUUAUUAACAUCUUGUAAGUGUGUGGUACCUUUGUUACAAUUGAUGAAUCAACAUUGAUACAUUAUUAUUAAUUGAGGACCCAUAGUGUACAUUAGAGUUCAUUCUGUGUUGUGUAGUUUUGUGGGUUUAGUCAAAUGAAUAAUGACACAUAUCCAUCAUACAAUAGCAUAUAGAAUUGUUUUCAUUGAGCUGAAAAUUCCCGGUGCUCCCCCUACUUUCUUUUUCCCUCCUUCUUCCCAUCCCCUGGCAACUACUGAACUUUUUAUUAUCUUCAUAGUUUUGCCUUUUCCAGAAUAUCCUAUAGUUGAAAUCGUAUAAUAUAAAGCCUUUUCAGACUGGUUCUUUUAUUUAGCAAAACACAUAUAAGAUUCCCCUGUGUCUUUUUGUAGCUUGAUAUGUCAAUUUUUAUGAUUAAUUAAUUUGACCACUCAUUAUUAGAUGCAUACUUGGGUCUGGUACCAGCUGGGACCAGAAACACAAGCACAAAUAAGAAACAGCUGUGGUCAUAUGAAGUUUACAUGGAAACUGGCAGAGAGACAGAUCACUGGACAGUGACACUGCCAGGAAGAUAGGAAGAAGUGAGGUACAAGUUGAAAACAGUGAGUGGCAUCAGGUGAUGUUUAAGAGAAGAGAACAGGAUCCUCUAGGAGUGUAGUCAAGGAGACAAGGUUUGAACAUAAGCUGAACCAGUUUCCCAUUUUGUAAGCCAGAAAGGGGAAAGAAAGUAUGGGAAAAAACCCAUCAGUGGAGAAAUUAAUGCAUUAGAGUGAGAAAGUGAAACAGAAGACAAUAAAGAAGAAUUUAUUUUUAGUUGUAGUGGUUCUGAAUGAAUACUUGUAUGAGCAUUUUAUAUUAUUUCUUCUCAUAACAUGGAAUAAUAUUUCUGGUGCCUGGAACAAAAUUAAUUCCUUUCCCCUGAAUAACCUGAAUUUAGAUAUGAGUCUUUUUCCACUGGAAAUUGUAGCAUUUUAAAACUGGAAGGAACUUUGAUGGAAAUUUAGCCAAACUCAUCCAUUUUGCAAAUAAGGAGACUAAUGGCUAAAAAUUAAGUGAUUUUCCAAGUUAUUUAGGGGAUGGAAUCAUGGGGCUAGAAAAUAGGUGUCCUAAUUCUGAUUCUAAUAGUCCUAAGCCCCCUUCUUUCUAAAGGCAUGGAAAGGUAUGAAUACAUCUGUUCAAUAGCAGGUUCUAAAACAUUGGUACAAAGAAGAGAGAGUGACAGGUGAAACUGUUUCUUAUGCAAAUAAGAGAUGAGUCUCGACAUUUCUAAUAUUCCAGAUAUGGCUGAAAUAAAGAACUAUGAAUAAAAGGGGAAAAUCGUAGUUGAAGUGGGAAGAGAAGAAAGGAAUGGAAACCAGAUAAGAAAGGAGCAGUGGGGAGGGAAGAAGAGAAAGAUCGAAUGAACACUCAUGGUGUUUGAUCCUUCAUUUUAAAGAGAAUGUUACCACAUUUAUGGGGUCAAAAAACUGAGUUCUGGGCAACUUGGAAUCUCCAGACAGCCCAAGGGUGUCUAGAAAUAACAUUUAUUCAAGGAGGGAAAUCAAAUUCUUGUCAUCCUGUGAGAAAAUCUCAAGCAUGAGGUCAUUAUUCUGAGGUCAACUCACUCUCACAGAUUUUCUCAACUUGGUUCUUGUUUCUCCAAUUUUCCAUGUUGCUUUUCCAUGUUGCUUUUCCAUAUUGUUCUAGAGUGUUUGGACAUAAAAGAGCAACUUGCAUGUUGAUGGGAGAGUUGCUGGAAAGCUUAUCUGUUGUUGCUGGGCCUGUUAGUAUCCUGUGGGAGGGGGUUAAGAUCUAUUCUUUUUCUCCUUUUCCUUCUCUUCUCCCUCUUCUUUCCCCUCUCUGUUCCUCUUUCUCUCUUUCCUUGUCUUUUAACUGUAGAUUAAGAUUGUCUACAUCCCCCCAAAUUGUCUCCUAUGACAAAGACAUUAUUUUGUUGACCGAUGUUUUAAAUGACUUUGCAUCUUUUCUCCCUCCCUUCCAGACAGAGAGGUUUUUACUGACUCUGAAGAUGGGAAAUGGUGGUGUGUGUGUGAUGGUAACAUGGAAAAGGAACUUUUUGAAAAUCAAAAGGUAAAAUAUGGCCACUUAGUUCUCUGAGUGAGCUGCAAUGACAUACAUACAUGGAACAUGGUCCCUGUAGUCCUCCUGUCCAGCAGCCUGAAUAAGAGGGGUGCAACAUGAUAGAGGUAGGGAGAAUAUGAGUUAAUACUUCACAAUAUAUCCCAGCAUAUAUACAUUGGACUUAAUAUCCAAAUAAAAUGGAAAUGUAUUCAACACUGAAUUUCACACUGUUUUCCAAAUACUUUGCCCAUUUCAAUUUUGUCCAGAGAGUGGAAGCUUAUAUAAUUCCUUUAUCUAUUGUGUUUACUGAUAUAUUCAAUUUUCAGUUGGAAUAUAUUGACACAAUCUCCUUUUCCCGACUUUCAACCCCAUAUUCUAAAUGAAUUUAUCUCUUUUAGAAACUCCGAAACAGCAUCCAGUGGGAUGGUAUGGCAAGAGAUUGGAGGCAGAGGCAGAGUGUGGAGGAAAAAGAGUUGAUGUGAACUCAGGACCAGUGAUAUGAGCACCAAUUCCAACUCAAAGGGCCAUGGAGGGCUUCCUAGAGAGGACAUUUGAAAUGAGCUGUGGAAGAUGACUCGGAGUAUUAUAAUCUGCUGUCAUGCUGAGAGAGGUUAACUAUACCUGUAGUCCAUAUAGUAUGAGAAUCAAGGUAAUAUAAGGAUGUCUUGUAGCAGGUGUAGCUUAGGGUGACUCUCAGCUCACAAGCUUUCUCCUUUCUCUCAGAUGAAGGUUAUGACCCAGGAAUGAAAGGUUUUCAGGAUAGUGUUCCUACUCUGUGACCCUGCCUGGCUACAGGGUGAAACCCUGACUCAGACUGUGCUUUCCUGGUCCUGAAUACCUGGAAUUUCAUAGUUUGAACUAAGACACGAUAACUGCAGAAGAUGGGAACUGCAUUGCCUGUGGCUAUGCUUUAGAAGGAAGUUUCACAAACGCUGGGCUGGAAGCUGUUGGAGCUCCUGUUCUCUAUAUCCUGGGUAUUGGCUGUUAAACCCUUGGACUUGGUGGUACCAUCAUACCUUGGAGAUACUGCGUGUUUAGUUCCAGACCACUGCAGUAAAGUGAAUAUCACAAUAAAGCAAGACACACAUUUUUUGAUUUCCCAGUGCAUAUAAAAUUUAUGUUUACACUAUACCAUAGUCUGUUAAGUGUGCAAUAAUAACAUUAUGACAAAAAAUGUAUAUACCUUAAUUUAAAAUACUUUAUUGCUAAGAAAUGCUAACCAUUAUAUGAGCCUUCAGAGAGUGUAAUCUUUUUGCUGAUGAAGGGUCUUGCCUUGAUCUUGAAGGCUGCUGAUUGACCAGGAUGGUGGUUGCUGAAGGUUGGGGUGGACAUGGCAAUUAAAAAAAAAAUAAGACAAUGAAAUUUGCUGGAUCAACUGACUCUUACUUUCAUGAAUGAUUUCUCUAUACCAUGCAAUGCUGUUUGAUACCAUUUUACUCAUAGUAGAACUUCUUUCAAACUUGGAGUCAAUCCUCUCAAAACCUACCACAGUUUUGUCAACGAAGUUUAUGUAAUAGUCUCAAUUCUUUGUUGUCAUUUCAAUAGUCUUCAUAGCAUCUUCACCAAGAGUAGAUUCCAUCUGGAGAAACCACUUUCUUUGCUCUUCUCCUCCUCUGUUAAAGUUUUAUCAUGAGAUUGCAGCAAUGCAGUCACAUCUUUAGGUUCCACUUCUAAUUCUAGUUCUCUUGUUAUUGCCACCACAUCUACAGUUACUCCCUCCACUGAGGUCUUGUGGCCCUGAAAAUCAUCCAUGAGCAUUGGAAUCAACUUCUUCCAAACUCUUGUUAGUGUCAGUAUUUUAACCUCUUCCCAUGAAUCACAAGUGUUCUUAAUGGCAUCUAGAAUCGUGAAUCCUUUCCAGAAGGUUUUCUAUUGAUUUUGCCCAGAUCCAUCAGAAGAAUCACUAUCUAUGGCAGCUAUAGUCUUACCAAAUAUAUUUAUUAAAUAAAAUUUGAAAGUCAAAAUGACUCCUUGUUCUUUGGGCUGCAGAAUGGAUGUUGUGUUAGAAGAUGUAGGGGAGCAAAAUUUUCUACCCCAGCAUGUCUCUUUGGCAUGUAGAUUAUUUUGAGCUGACAACAAUCAAGGUCCAAAGGACACAAGAAGAAACUUUGACAUUCCCCUAACUGCCUAAAAGAAUGUAGAUAGCGGACCUCUUCCAGGAAGAGAGCUAUCAUCAUAGAUAACUAUAGUAUGAACUAAGUAUGGUAGACAGGGAACCUAGCAAAGUCUGUUUAUUAAAAUUCCUCUCUGUGUCCCAUUGUCUCUACAUGGCCUACCAAAUAUUUGUUUACCAAACAUUUGCUUUUCCAUCUCCAUGUGAAUUGCAUACUUUCCUUUGAAGUCCCAAACCACUUUGUCUUUAACUGAAGACAGUAUUUAAGGUGAGGGUUUCAGCCAUUUUGGUGAGUUACUUAGUUUUUCUGCAUCUCUCCUAUGUAUAUGUGUUAUUAAACUUAUGUUUGAUUUUCUCCUGUUAAUCUGUUUUAUGCCAAUUUAAUUCUUAGACCAGCCAGAAGAACCUAGAAGUGUAGAGGAAAAUUUCUUCCUCCCUGACACAGGCAUGUAAACAAUAGUGUCCUGUGCAUCUCCAUCAGAUCUCUUGGAUAACCAUUUGCAUUGUCAAUGAGCAGUAAUACUUUGAAAGGAAUUUUUUUUUUUUUUUGAGCAGUAGGUCUCAACAAUGGGCUUAAAAUAGUAAACCAUGUUGUAAACAGAUGUGCUGCCAUCCAGACUUCGUUGUUCCAUUUACAGAGUAUAGGCAGAGUAGAUUUAGCAUAAAUUGUAAAGGCCUAGGAUUUUUGGAAUGGUAAAUGUCUUAAAGUCACCAGCUGAAUUACACCCUAAUGAGAGAGUUAGCCUGUCCUUUGAAGCCAGGCAUUGACUUCUCCUCUCCAGCUAUGAAACUCUUAGAUGACAUCUUCUUCCAGUAUAACGCUGUUUUACCUACAUUGAAAGUCUGUUGUAAACACCUGUGUAGCCACCGCCAUUAAUGACCUUAGCUAGAUCUUCUGGAUAAUUUGCUGCAGCUUCUGCAUUGGCCCUUGCUGCUUUACCUUGCACUUUUAAGUUUUGGAGAUGGCUUCUUUCCUUAAACCUCAUGAGUCAACCUCUGCUAGCUUCAAAUUUUUCUACUGCAGCUUUCUAAACUCUCCCAGCCUUCAUAGAAUUGAACAGAGAUGGGGCCUUUCUCUGGAUUAGGUUUUGGCAUAAGGGAAUGUUGUGGCUGGUUUAAUCGUCUAUCCAGACCACUACAACUUUCUCCAUAUCAGCAUUAAGACUAUUUCAUUUUUUUAAUCAUUCUUGUGUUCACUGGAGUAGCACUUUCAAUUUUUUUCAAGAACUUUUCUUUUGAGUUCACAACUUGGCUAACUGUUUGCUGCAAGAGGCCUAGCUUUCAGCCUUUUUCAGCUUUUGGCCUUCCUCACUAAGCUUAAUCAUUUCUAGCUUUUGAUUUAAAGUGAGAGACAUAUGACUCUUCCUUUCACUUGAACACUUAGAGGCCACUGUAGGGUUAUUAAUUGGCCUAAUUUCAAUAUUGUUGUGUUUCAGGAUAUAGGGAAGUCCUAGGAAAGGGGAACAUCCAGUAGGUGGAGCAGUCAGAACACACUCAACAUUUACCAAUAAUUUUGCCAUCUUAUGUGAGUGUGGUUCAUGGUGCCCUAAAACAAUUACAAUAGUAGCAUCAAAGAUCACUGAUCACAGAUCACCAUAACAAAUAUAAUAAUAAUGAAAAGUUUGAAAUAUUGCAAGAAUUACCAAAAAGUGACAUAGAGACACGAAGUUAGCAUAUACUGUUGGAAAAAUGGUUUCAAUAGAAUUGCUUGACAAGGAUUUCCCGUAAACCUUAAAUUUGUAAAAAAUGUAAUAUCUGUGAAGUGCAAUAAAAUGAGGUAUGCUUGUAUUUGCCAGUGUUUUCCUAAUAAAUUUGUUUUUGAUGGUCA